rnacentral:rRNA from 1 species
AGGGAAUCUUCCGCAAUGGACGAAAGUCUGACGGAGCAACGCCGCGUGAGUGAAGAAGGCCUUCGGGUCGUAAAACUCUGUUGUUAGGGAAGAACAAGUGUCGGAGUAACUGCCGGCACCUUGACGGUACCUGACCAGAAAGCCACGGCUAACUACGUGCCAGCAGCCGCGGUAAUACGUAGGUGGCAAGCGUUGUCCGGAAUUAUUGGGCGUAAAGCGCGCGCAGGCGGUUUCUUAAGUCUGAUGUGAAAGCCCCCGGCUCAACCGGGGAGGGUCAUUGGAAACUGGGAAACUUGAGUGCAGAAGAGAAGAGCGGAAUUCCACGUGUAGCGGUGAAAUGCGUAGAGAUGUGGAGGAACACCAGUGGCGAAGGCGGCUCUUUGGUCUGUAACUGACGCUGAGGCGCGAAAGCGUGGGGAGCAAAC